rnacentral:ncRNA from 2 species
AGCAGCCGCGGUAAUUCCAGCUCCAAUAGCGUAUAUUAAAGUUGUUGCAGUUAAAAAGCUCGUAGUUGAAUUUUAGGCCUGGCCGGGCGGUCCGUCUUUGGCGAGUACUGUCUGUUGUCGGGUCUUCCUUCUGGUGAACCAAUAUGUCCUUUAUUGGGUGUGCUGGGGAGCCAGGACCAUUACCUUGAAAAAAUUAGAGUGUUUAAAGCAGGCUUUUGCUUGAAUAGAUUAGCAUGGAAUAAUAGAAUAGGACGUUGUGGUUCUAUUUUGUUGGUUUCUAGGACCACCGUAAUGAUUAAUAGGGAUAGUUGGGGGCAUUAGUAUUCAAUUGUCAGAGGUGAAAUUCUUGGAUUUAUUGAAGACUAACUAUUGCGAAAGCAUUUGCCAAGGAUGUUUUCAUUAAUCAAGAACGAAAGUUAGGGGAUCGAAGACGAUCAGAUACCGUCGUAGUCUUAACCAUAAACUAUGCCGACUAGGAAUCGGGCGACGUUAUUUUAAUGACUCGCUCGGCGCCUUAUGG